UCUCAACUUGCAUGAUAUAAAAAGUCCGAGAAUUUUGUCUCAUCCAUGUUGAGAAUUAACUUACCCUAUAAUUUCUUCUCUAUAACUGUAGAUUUUAGGCUUGAGCACACUGUUAUAAAUGGUCCUAGCCAAGGCCUUCAGGUUGGAACCCAAGACCAAUAUCCUAAUUUUAGUCAUUUUCCAUGCAUUAUAAUAUUUCAAAUGUCUGCUUCACUUCAUGUCAAAAUCUCAGGUUUGUCUUCUUGGUUAUGUUUAAUUACUUAAGACUGUCUCACGGUGCUAUAUGUUAUUUAUUUAUUGGCAUCCUCAAUUAUCAUGUUUAAGAAUCGCAGGGUUUGGCUGAAACUCGUGACCUGCAAUUUGCAAACGGUUUGCAUGGUUACUUCAGUAGGGGCCAGAUGAUUCUGAGGUACACUUCUUUGAUUUACUUGUUGAGAACUUUGAUUUGAUCGCAACCUUUAAUGAAUUCUAUUCAGUUUCUUGAAAUUAAUCCAGCAUGUUAUGGUACAAGGAUCAAGUUGCAAAGCCAAAAGAUUAAAAUUGUCAAGAUGCCACAAUCUGUGAUAGAGAAAGGUGCUAGAAGUGUUGAGAUUCAAAUUCCAAACGUGCUGAAUGUCACCUCUAAAGAAGGCAAGUCUGUUGUUGCCCCAUGAAAAAAAGCCAAAUCAAGCUUACAAGUUCAUCCUGGUGAACACCAAGGUUUCCAUGGUUCUUGCCCAUAUAAUUGUACAGCACCAUCAUGUUCACAUGAAGAUAGCCAGGGUGCAUGAUAAAACCAUUUUGCCAAAUCAAAUGAAAAUUGAGGAUAGUAGCAUUUGUAGAAAAUAUCUAGUGAGGAAGAUGGAUCCAUAAUAUUUGGUGGCCAUCAUGAAAAUCCAUUUUCUCAAUCUGUUUCCCGUGAUAUCAGACAGCAUAUCUGUUGAGGGAGUCUCAGCUUGAAAGGUAAAAGCUGAGAGAAAUUCAUCACCUACUCUGGUAGAGCAAAGAAAUACAAGUGUUGCUCAAGAAGUUGAUAUUGCUGGUGAUGAUGACGGCUAAGCAUCGGCUACAGAGACUGAUUAUUACCAUGAUGCAAAGCAUUGGCUAAAGAGAAUGCAAAAGCAUGCAUUCAUGAUGGAAAUAUUGGGUACUACUGGCAGGAAGAAUAGAAGAAAGCUUUCACCACUUGUGUCAUCAAGUUGAUGCUCAUUUGGGAAUUAUACAUCCUGUUGGCCCAUAAAAUAUCGGUUCUACUGCUGUAGUUGCAAUUGUUAUUUAACACAAUCGUUUCCAGAUGUGGUGAUUCAAGAGCGAUUCUCAUGCCUCUGUCUGUAGGCCACUAGUAAGUCAUGCUUUGUAUUUUGAGUUUCAUUUUUGGUUUCUUUGCCACUGGACUACUUAUUUCGAACACAGAUAUUCUGGUUGCCUCUUUUUUCGGCCUGAUAGAGACACUGAGAAUGCAAGGAUAGAAGCCACAUAAGGCAAUUCGAAUGGUUUUCGUUUUGGAUUUUUUUUUUAAAUCUUGCAACGUCUUCUAUUGGUAGGUAUUUCCAAACCUUGCCUUGUUGGAACUUGAACAUUAUAAUUGAUCAUCCCCGACAAGCUUUUCACAUGGUAGACAUAUUUGAAGGACUUAAACUUUUGGGAUAAUUGAUACACUCGAUUUAACGUCAAUUUCCAAAUUUCUAUAUUGAAAUACAUACAUAUUAGCCUUGCUGUUGUUAAUCAUAUUAACUAAUGAUACUAAAUCAUUUGAUUAUUGAUGGUAUUAAAUAUGAUUAUCAUCUUUCAUGAUCCACAGGUGACACUGACAUCGGAUUAUCCCAAAUCCAAAAGAGAUUUUGUUCCUCAAGCAAUGAGUCUUUAUAUUUAGCCAAUAAUGGCUUAUGGGAUGAAAUUACCAACGAGGAAGCCUGUGAAGUUGCACAAAAGCGAAUCCUUGGAUGGUGUGAUAAAGUGUACUCAAAAAAGGGUAAGGAACUCAGACCCUGCUGCUUAAGCUGCAGGAGAGUACCUUUCAAGGCUUUUGCUAAAGGAAGAGAAGACAAAUACAAGUGUCAGCGUGGUAGACCUAAAGGCUCUUAAGAAUAUUCAAUAAGAAAACUUCUCCUCGAACUCUUGUAAUUAGACUCGUCAAAUUCUGUUCUAGACUUGAGACACUAAUUCACUCUGUUUGAGCUUCAAUCCGAUUCAAUUUCAUUUUAUCAUAAAAGGCUAACACUCUAAAA